GACGAACGCUUGCGGCGUGCUUAACACAUGCAAGUCGAGCGAUGAAGUUCCUUCGGGAACGGAUUAGCGGCGGACGGGUGAGUAACACGUGGGUAACCUGCCUCAUAGAGGGGAAUAGCCUUCCGAAAGGAAGAUUAAUACCGCAUAAGAUUGUAGUACCGCAUGGUACAGCAAUUAAAGGAGCAAUCCGCUAUGAGAUGGACCCGCGUCGCAUUAGCUAGUUGGGGAGGUAACGUCACAACAAGGCGACGAUUCGUAGCCGACCUGACAGAGUGAUCGGCCACAUUGGGGAUGAGACCCGGCCCAGACUCAUUCGGGAGGCAGCAGUGGGGAAUAUUGCACAAUGGGGGAAACCCUGAUGCAGCAACGCCGCGUGAGUGAUGACGGUCUUCGGAUUGUAAAACUCUGUCUUCAGGGACGAUAAUGACGGUACCUGAGGAGGAAGCCACGGCUAACUACGUGCCAGCCGCCGCCGUAAAUC
rnacentral:rRNA from 1 species